rnacentral:rRNA from 1 species
GAACGGGUGAGUAACACGUGAGCAACCUGCCCUGGACUCUGGGAUAAGCGCUGGAAACGGCGUCUAAUACUGGAUAUGAGCCUCUUCCGCAUGGUGGGGGUUGGAAAGAUUUUUUGGUCUGGGAUGGGCUCGCGGCCUAUCAGCUUGUUGGUGAGGUAAUGGCUCACCAAGGCGUCGACGGGUAGCCGGCCUGAGAGGGUGACCGGCCACACUGGGACUGAGACACGGCCCAGACUCCUACGGGAGGCAGCAGUGGGGAAUAUUGCACAAUGGGCGAAAGCCUGAUGCAGCAACGCCGCGUGAGGGAUGACGGCCUUCGGGUUGUAAACCUCUUUUAGCAGGGAAGAAGCGAAAGUGACGGUACCUGCAGAAAAAGCGCCGGCUAACUACGUGCCAGCAGCCGCGGUAAUACGUAGGGCGCAAGCGUUAUCCGGAAUUAUUGGGCGUAAAGAGCUCGUAGGCGGUUUGUCGCGUCUGCUGUGAAAUCCCGAGGCUCAACCUCGGGCCUGCAGUGGGUACGGGCAGACUAGAGUGCGGUAGGGGAGAUUGGAAUUCCUGGUGUAGCGGUGGAAUGCGCAGAUAUCAGGAGGAACACCGAUGGCGAAGGCAGAUCUCUGGGCCGUAACUGACGCUGAGGAGCGAAAGGGUGGGGAGCAAACAGGCUUAGAUACCCUGGUAGUCCACCCCGUAAACGUUGGGAACUAGUUGUGGGGACCAUUCCACGGUUUCCGUGACGCAGCUAACGCAUUAAGUUCCCCGCCUGGGGAGUACGGCCGCAAGGCUAAAACUCAAAGGAAUUGACGGGGACCCGCACAAGCGGCGGAGCAUGCGGAUUAAUUCGAUGCAACGCGAAGAACCUUACCAAGGCUUGACAUA